rnacentral:rRNA from 1 species
AGCGAACGCUGGCGGCAGGCUUAACACAUGCAAGUCGAACGGGCGUAGCAAUACGUCAGUGGCAGACGGUGAGUAACGCGUGGGAACGUACCUUUUGGUUCGGAACAACACAGGGAAACUUGUGCUAAUACCGGAUAAGCCCUUACGGGGAAAAGAUUUAUCGCCGAAAGAUCGGCCCGCGUCUGAUUAGCUAGUUGGUGAGGUAAUGGCUCACCAAGGCGACGAUCAGUAGCUGGUCUGAGAGGAUGAUCAGCCACACUGGGACUGAGACACGGCCCAGACUCCUACGGGAGGCAGCAGUGGGAAAUAUUGGACAAUGGGGGCAACCCUGAUCCAGCCAUGCCGCGUGAGUGAUGAAGGCCCUAGGGUUGUAAAGCUCUUUUGUGCGGGAAGAUAAUGACGGUACCGCAAGAAUAAGCCCCGGCUAACUUCGUGCCAGCAGCCGCGGUAAUACGAAGGGGGCUAGCGUUGCUCGGAAUCACUGGGCGUAAAGCGCACGUAGGCGGACUUUUAAGUCAGGGGUGAAA